CCUACGGGCGGCAGCAGUGGGGAAUAUUGGACAAUGGGCGAAAGCCUGAUCCAGCCAUGCCGCGUGUGUGAAGAAGGCCUUCGGGUUGUAAAGCACUUUCAGUGGGGAAGAAAGCCUUGGGGCUAAUACCCUCGAGGAAGGACAUCACCCACAGAAGAAGCACCGGCUAACUCCGUGCCAGCAGCCGCGGUAAUACGGAGGGUGCGAGCGUUAAUCGGAAUUACUGGGCGUAAAGCGCGCGUAGGCGGUCUGAUAAGCCGGUUGUGAAAGCCCCGGGCUCAACCUGGGAACGGCAUCCGGAACUGUCAGGCUAGAGUGCAGGAGAGGUAGGUAGAAUUCCCGGUGUAGCGGUGAAAUGCGUAGAGAUCGGGAGGAAUACCAGUGGCGAAGGCGGCCUUCUGGACUGACACUGACGCUGAGGUGCGAAAGCGUGGGUAGCAAACAGGAUUAGAUACCCUUGUAGUC
rnacentral:rRNA from 1 species